UACGUAGGGGGCGAGCGUUGUCCGGAUUUAUUGGGCGUAAAGAGCGUGUAGGCGGCUUGGUAGGUCCGCUGUGAAAACUCGAGGCUCAACCUCGAGACGUCGGCGGAAACCAUCUGGCUAGAGUCUGGAAGAGGAGAGCGGAAUUCCCGGUGUAGUGGUGGAAUGCGUAGGAGAUCGGGAGGAAACACCAGUGGCGAAAG
rnacentral:rRNA from 1 species